CAUAUACUCCCUCCGUCCAAUAAAACAUGUCUCAUGUUUAUCAAAAUUUGGACGUAUCUAGACAUGACUUAGUAUAUAGAUGCAUUCAAAUUUGAUCAAAGUUGAGAUAUCCUCUGUUGUACAUAGGGAGUAUUAA
rnacentral:pre_miRNA from 1 species